UUAAGCGACUAAGCGUACACGGUGGAUGCCCUGGCAGUCAGAGGCGAUGAAGGACGUGCUAAUCUGCGAAAAGCGUCGGUAAGGUGAUAUGAACCGUUAUAACCGGCGAUGUCCGAAUGGGGAAACCCAGUGCAAUUCGUUGCACUAUCGUUAACUGAAUACAUAGGUUAACGAGGCGAACCGGGGGAACUGAAACAUCUAAGUACCCCGAGGAAAAGAAAUCAACCGAGAUUCCCCCAGUAGCGGCGAGCGAACGGGGAGCAGCCCAGAGUCUGAAUCAGCUUGUGUGUUAGUGGAACGGUCUGGAAAGUCCGACGGUACAGGGUGAUAGUCCCGUACACCAAAAUGCACAGGCUGUGAACUCGAAGAGUAGGGCGGGACACGUGGUAUCCUGUCUGAAUAUGGGGGGACCAUCCUCCAAGGCUAAAUACUCCUGACUGACCGAUAGUGAACCAGUACCGUGAGGGAAAGGCGAAAAGAACCCCGGCGAGGGGAGUGAAAAAGAACCUGAAACCGUGUACGUACAAGCAGUGGGAGCACCUUCGGGUGUGACUGCGUACCUUUUGUAUAAUGGGUCAGCGACUUAUAUUCUGUAGCAAGGUUAACCGUAUAGGGGAGCCGCAGGGAAACCGAGUCUUAACUGGGCGUUAAGUUGCAGGGUAUAGACCCGAAACCCGGUGAUCUAGCCAUGGGCAGGUUGAAGGUUGGGUAACACUAACUGGAGGACCGAACCGACUAAUGUUGAAAAAUUAGCGGAUGACUUGUGGCUGGGGGUGAAAGGCCAAUCAAACCGGGAGAUAGCUGGUUCUCCCCGAAAGCUAUUUAGGUAGCGUCUCGUGAACUCAUCUUCGGGGGUAGAGCACUGUUUCGGCUAGGGGGUCAUCCCGACUUACCAACCCGAUGCAAACUACGAAUACCGAAGAAUGUUAUCACGGGAGACACACGGCGGGUGCUAACGUCCGUCGUGAAGAGGGAAACAACCCAGACCGCCAGCUAAGGUCCCAAAGUCAUGGUUAAGUGGGAAACGAUGUGGGAAGGCACAGACAGCCAGGAUGUUGGCUUAGAAGCAGCCAUCAUUUAAAGAAAGCGUAAUAGCUCACUGGUCGAGUCGGCCUGCGCGGAAGAUGUAACGGGGCUAAACCAUGCACCGAAGCUGCGGCAGCGACACUAUGUGUUGUUGGGUAGGGGAGCGUUCUGUAAGCCUGCGAAGGUGUGCUGUGAGGCAUGCUGGAGGUAUCAGAAGUGCGAAUGCUGACAUAAGUAACGAUAAAGCGGGUGAAAAGCCCGCUCGCCGGAAGACCAAGGGUUCCUGUCCAACGUUAAUCGGGGCAGGGUGAGUCGACCCCUAAGGCGAGGCCGAAAGGCGUAGUCGAUGGGAAACAGGUUAAUAUUCCUGUACUUGGUGUUACUGCGAAGGGGGGACGGAGAAGGCUAUGUUAGCCGGGCGACGGUUGUCCCGGUUUAAGCAUGUAGGCUGAUUGUCCAGGCAAAUCCGGAUAAUCAAGGCUGAGGUGUGAUGACGAGGCACUACGGUGCUGAAGUAACAAAUGCCCUGCUUCCAGGAAAAGCCUCUAAGCAUCAGGUAACAUUAAAUCGUACCCCAAACCGACACAGGUGGUCAGGUAGAGAAUACCAAGGCGCUUGAGAGAACUCGGGUGAAGGAACUAGGCAAAAUGGUGCCGUAACUUCGGGAGAAGGCACGCUGGUGUGUAGGUGAAGUCCCUGCGGAUGGAGCUGAGACCAGUCGAAGAUACCAGCUGGCUGCAACUGUUUAUUAAAAACACAGCACUGUGCAAACACGAAAGUGGACGUAUACGGUGUGACGCCUGCCCGGUGCCGGAAGGUUAAUUGAUGGGGUUAUCCGUAAGGAGAAGCUCUUGAUCGAAGCCCCGGUAAACGGCGGCCGUAACUAUAACGGUCCUAAGGUAGCGAAAUUCCUUGUCGGGUAAGUUCCGACCUGCACGAAUGGCGUAAUGAUGGCCAGGCUGUCUCCACCCGAGACUCAGUGAAAUUGAACUCGCUGUGAAGAUGCAGUGUACCCGCGGCAAGACGGAAAGACCCCGUGAACCUUUACUAUAGCUUGACACUGAACAUUGAGCCUUGAUGUGUAGGAUAGGUGGGAGGCUUUGAAGCGUGGACGCCAGUCUGCGUGGAGCCAACCUUGAAAUACCACCCUUUAAUGUUUGAUGUUCUAACGUUGGCCCCUGACCGGGGUUGCGGACAGUGUCUGGUGGGUAGUUUGACUGGGGCGGUCUCCUCCCAAAGCGUAACGGAGGAGCACGAAGGUUAGCUAAUCCUGGUCGGACAUCAGGAGGUUAGUGCAAUGGCAUAAGCUAGCUUGACUGCGAGCGUGACGGCGCGAGCAGGUGCGAAAGCAGGUCAUAGUGAUCCGGUGGUUCUGAAUGGAAGGGCCAUCGCUCAACGGAUAAAAGGUACUCCGGGGAUAACAGGCUGAUACCGCCCAAGAGUUCAUAUCGACGGCGGUGUUUGGCACCUCGAUGUCGGCUCAUCACAUCCUGGGGCUGAAGUAGGUCCCAAGGGUAUGGCUGUUCGCCAUUUAAAGUGGUACGCGAGCUGGGUUUAGAACGUCGUGAGACAGUUCGGUCCCUAUCUGCCGUGGGCGCUGGAGAAUUGAGGGGGGCUGCUCCUAGUACGAGAGGACCGGAGUGGACGCAUCACUGGUGUUCGGGUUGUCAUGCCAAUGGCACUGCCCGGUAGCUAAAUGCGGAAGAGAUAAGUGCUGAAAGCAUCUAAGCACGAAACUUGCCCCGAGAUGAGUUCUCCCUGAGACUUUAAGUCUCCUGAAGGAACGUUAAAGACGAUGACGUUGAUAGGCCGGGUGUGUAAGCGCAGCGAUGCGUUGAGCUAACCGGUACUAAUGAACCGUGAGGCUUAACCUU
rnacentral:rRNA from 1 species